CAAACAUAUCAACAGGGAGCUGGAGGAGGAACUUAGCAAUGAACUUGAGUUGCAGAUCCAGGGAGCUGAGAAGCCAUCUGUGUGGAAUCUUUUAGCUGUUCAGUUUAUACUUCUGCCUUAUGUUCUAGGCAAGUUAUUAUUUUGGAGGUUCUGUUGGUUUUGGCGAUAUCAGAUAAAGAAAGCUCCGUACUCAUGGGGAGAUGCAUGUUACCUGACUCAGACUAGUCUUAAAGUGCCUAUGGAUUCAUGGCAGAAUAUGGAUGAAUCUACGAAGGAUGAACUUGUCCAG
rnacentral:misc_RNA from 1 species